ensembl:lncRNA
AUGUUGAUUAAAACAAAAACCAAUAAUGAACAGAAAUAUGUCAAGAUCAGUGAACCAAGUCUGGAUGAAUUCUUGAAUUCUGCUUUUGUGAAGUUCUCCAUCCCACCCGUCAAUGAAGGCAUCAGAGUUUAUGAUGAAACAGGAACUGAGGUGGAUGCAGAUGUCUUUGCAGAAGUGGCACAGCUGCCCAAUGCUGGUGUAUUUACUAUUCAGUUUGACAAUGGUUCACAGGGGAACGCUUCAUCUGCCAGUCCACCAGUCCAAACCAAUUCAGCAUUGGCCCUUUCAUCAUCAACCAGCUCUGAUGAUACAAUCAUCCUGGAUUUGGACAGCGGUCCUUCCAGAAAACGGCAGAAGGUAAAUCAAGAUGCCAAACAAGUAAGUCAGUGUAGAACAUAUUUUGUGCCAGCUUCAAUUUGUGCAUUGCAUACUUUUUUUUAUUAUUUUUAAAUGUAUUGACUGUCAAUUGUUCAAGGUUAUUUAAUUUUAGUGAAUAAUGGCUUGUCUUUUAUUCUGUCCUUUCACAGGUGGUUGAAUCAGCGUUGACCAAGAAACCCGGUGGAGAUCGUAUUACUAAGGAAUACAACCGGACAAAAGGCCUGACUGAUUCCUCGCGGCGACAGAUGGUUAACAUCCUUGCAGCAGAUAUGACUGAAACUUAUGGGUAAUAUGGAUAUUUGUGUUUCAAGCAGAACAUUUCUUCCAUGUUUUUUUAUUGGGAAAACAAGUGUCAUUAUUUAAUUCUUGACAUUUAUUAUAAGCAUUGAAAUAAAUUGUAUUCACUUUCUUUACUUCACUCUCAUUUUACAGAGAAAUGUCCAUUAGGCCAAACAAAUGUAAAAAAAGAAAAAGAGAAUGCUGUAGUUAUGUCUUAACUUGUGGUAUGUGAUUUAUCUUUUGCAGAUUGAGCAAGACUUCAUCUUGCAGUUUGGAGAAGAUGUAGCUGCCAAGUUUUUGGAGAGGUUAGUCCUAACUAUAUUUGUCUUUACCCAAAAACCCUGUUAUAGAUUUAUGAGGUGAUCAUCUGUAAGGCACUUGUUUUACUCUCAUUGUCUGUAUAACAUCUACACAUUUACCUCUUAUUGGAAUACUUGAGGAUGUAGCUGUUUUUAGAACUUGUAUACAAGUUGGUGCCUUUUUAGCAUGUAAAUAACAUAGUUACCUGAUGGAAACAUUUAGUUUUGUUAUUCUGAUCUUUGAUACAUUUUAUCUGCUUUUUCUUAUGUCAGCUGGUGGUGUAUGAAUUUUUCCAUGUUGUAUUAAUAAAAUAUUUCUCUAUCUAGGUGGCCUACAACAUUCAAGAAAAGGGUCAUCCAGCAGAGUAAGGCUCUCCCUUCCUCAGGCGACCUUGAAGAUCUGAUCUAUUGUGCAAAAGUUACAUCAAAUGAAGAGGAAAUGGAUAAUGACAUUAUUGCCUCUGGUACUUUAUUUUCCUAAUUAUUUUCUUCAAGGUUUUUGACUUUGACCAGCUUUUUCUUUAGUCAGCUUUAACUUUAAAGGAAUGGUGUUUUUAAAUUGUAAAAUAAUUGUACAAUCAUAUAACAUUUAGCUCUUUUGUUUCUGUGUACAGGAUGGGACAGUGAUCUAUCUUCAAUCAUUCUCCUCCACCUGAUUCCUCCAACAGCCCAGGGGCAGAAAAGGCCAGGCAAGGUGUCUGCAUCCCAAGCUGAGAAGCACCUUGUCGUGUUCAAGAAGGUUUGUAUUAUAGCUUAUAUGGGUGUUUUUCUUUUUCUUUUUCUUUUUUUAUUUACUUUUUCAGACAGCUGGGGUUCUUGUAAAGUUGGAAGAAAACACAAUAUUUUCCCCUCAUUGUGUCUGGGGGCAGCAGUAGUUCAGUCUGUAGGGAUUUAGCUUGGGAACCGGAGGGUGACUGGUUCAAGUCCAGCAUGGACCAAAGUAUGGAGGGUAGACUGGUAGCUGGAGAGGUGCCAGUUCACUUCCUGGGCACUACCGAGGUACUGAAGGUACCGAACCCCCUAACUGCUCCCAGGGUGCCGCUACGUGGCUGUCCAUCACUCCACCAUCUCUCCACAUUUGCAUGUCUAUGAGCCCUUUGUGUGUGUUGUAUUUUGGGCCAAUGAAUGUAAAAACUUGAGUGAAAAAAGAAUUUCCUCUUGAGGGAUCAAUAAAGUAUUUAUUCUUUUCUGUUCCUGUGUAUAGUAUAGUGUAAGUAAAUUAACUAAAUGUUUUAUUGUUUUGUUUUUUUUUAGAGUGGAACAAGCAUCCAGGAAUACAUUGAUAUCAUCAACAGCACCACUCAACCCUAUCUACUUGCUGUUGGCAUGAAGAGGAGCGCAAUCCAUGAGUUCUUCAUCGUUCUGGACAAGCAGGUCAUACCAUGCAACUCAACCACUUCACUUGGAGCUUUUGAUGAACUUGUGAAGGCACACUUUGUAUUUGGGACUCAUACAAUCAGAUGCUCCACAACAUGUACUAGGGGUGUAAAGAUUCACCAAAUCCACGGUUCGGUUCAGACCUUGAUUUUUGAGCCACGGUUUGGUUCAUACCGCGGUUUUCCCCGUUUCCCCAUUUUGCAGAGAAACAGAGAGAGAGAGAUGUUAUCUGAUAUUACAUUAAGCGGAUACGGCAGAACUCUUACAUUACGGACUGUCACUGAACACAACACUGCAGAUGUCACUCACUAACGUUAGUUUCGGUUUGGACCCACAUGCACUUGAAAACUGAAUCACGGGUGAGUUUAUGAAAUGUACUGCUGAUGGAGAAAGUCAGCAGAGACACACACAGGGAGAGAGAGACAGAAAGAGGCGGAGCAAGCGGGCGUGUUUGCCGUGAGUGACCAGAGGUCCAGGCUAGGUGUGUGUGCUGUGUGUAAGUGUGGGGAGAAGAGAAAGGGAGCAGAUUAAAAUAGUAAAUAAACACUAAAAUAAGGUGGAAAAUGACCUAGAAUAACCUACUGUCAAUACAAAUACAAUAUAGGCCUAAUACCCCAUGGGCCGCCGCCACCGCCGCAGUUGUCUGCACUGUCUUAACGAGAGCUCAACAGUCCAGGGAGCGAGUGUGUCGCAGUUCUGUCUCUCGGAUCCGUGACACGAGACCGUGGACUUUUGUGUCACCAUUUCGGUCUCGGUUUCAGAACCGUUACAGCCCUAACAUGUACACCUUCAUACAGACAACUGUCUACGACAUUGAUUUGGGCCAAGUCCAGGAGAGCCCACGUGUUGCUGAGAUGAGGGCUAGACUUCUGCAUUCUACAGGCUAGUUCAUGCAUACACUGACAUAUGGAACAGGCAACAUAUUUUCUGUUAAUUUAUCAAUAAUGUUGUCUUGAGUUUUGGAUAUUGUGAGAUUUUCUUUGACCCAUUUCACCCAUUUUUAUAUCACACUUUAACAUCUUACUUGAUAUCAUGGAGGUUAUUUGUUUUGUUUGCCAGAUUCAUUUUGUGAGCACCAACAGUCUUGUGAGGCAUAUGCGAUUAAUACAUGGUUUAUAUCAGGGCAAAUCACUUCGCUUAAAAUGUGCUCAGGCAGGAUGCUGCCAGGUUUUUGGCACAUUUUCAGGCUUUAGGAAGCAUCUAAAUACAAAGCAUGCUGAUCAAAUUGAACUUGAAGUUGAAACUGACAUUGUAGACACUGAUGUUGCAGAUGAUGCUCAGUUGCCAAUUAGUGAAGAAGCUGCCAGUACGUCUCAAGUUCUGCCCGUAUCCAACACAAGUACUCAUGAUUUGUGUGCAUCUGCUAUUGCACAGCUUCAGGUUGCUGGUGUAAGCCAGUUUACUUUAAAUGGUUUUCUAUCAUCCAUGGAAGACGUCGUACUGGAGGUACAGAGUCAAGCAAAGCUGCAGCUUUAACAUUUC